rnacentral:misc_RNA from 1 species
GAUGAAGAACGUAGCGAAAUGCGAUAAGUAAUGUGAAUUGCAGAAUUCAGUGAAUCAUCGAAUCUUUGAACGCACAUUGCGCCCGCUAGUAUUCUGGCGGGCAUGCCUGUCCGAGCGUCAUUUCAACCCUCAAGCCCCCGGGUUUGGUGUUGGGGAUCGGCGAGCCUCCGCGCCCGCCGUCCCCUAAAUCUAGUGGCGGUCUCGCUGUAGCUUCCUCUGCGUAGUAGCACACCUCGCACUGGGAAACAGCGCGGCCACGCCGUUAAACCCCCAACUUCUGAACGUUUGACCUCGGAUCAGGUAGGAAUACCCGCUGAACUUAAGCAUAUCAAUAAGCGGAGGA